GAUGAAGAACGUAGCGAAAUGCGAUGAGUAGUGUGAAUUGCAGAAUUCAGUGAAUCAUCGAAUCUUUGAACGCACAUUGCGCCCCUUGGUAUCCCGAGGGGCAUGCCUGUUCGAGCGUCAUUUCACCACUCAAGCCUGGCUUGGUGUUGGGCGACGUCCCCUUUGGGGACGCGCCUCGAAACGCUCGGCGGCGUGGCACCGGCUUUAAGCGUAGCAGAAUCUUUCGCUUUGGAAGUCGGGGCCCCGUCUGCCGGAAGACCUACUCGCAAGGUUGACCUCGGAUCAGGCAGGGAUACCCGCUGAACUUAAGCAUAUCAAUAAGCGGAGGA
rnacentral:misc_RNA from 1 species